AAAUAUUUUAUAUUGUAUUGUAUUGAGAAACACCAAGGAGUCAAACAUUUGACACAAAUUCCAUUUGGACAAGUAAGUUUUGGUAUGUACUUGUCCUACUGGACAAGUUGGAAAAAAAGUUAUUGUAGAGGCCUGGGUUAGAGUGCAAACAUCUGUCUUUUAAUUGUUUUUUUUUUGUGCCAUGAUAAUGUUGUUUUUACUUUGAAAGUUUUGAUUCAAAAUACUUCAAAUUUAAUUUCUUUCUAUUUCUAAAAAUUUUGAUAAGUAAUAC
rnacentral:lncRNA from 1 species